UGGAUCCAGACUUGAUUCUGGCUCAGGAUGAACGCUAGCUACAGGCUUAACACAUGCAAGUCGAGGGGCAGCAUGGUCUUAGCUUGCUAAGGCCGAUGGCGACCGGCGCACGGGUGAGUAACACGUAUCCAACCUGCCGUCUACUCUUGGACAGCCUUCUGAAAGGAAGAUUAAUACAAGAUGGCAUCAUGAGUCCGCAUGUUCACAUGAUUAAAGGUAUUCCGGUAGACGAUGGGGAUGCGUUCCAUUAGAUAGUAGGCGGGGUAACGGCCCACCUAGUCUUCGAUGGAUAGGGGUUCUGAGAGGAAGGUCCCCCACAUUGGAACUGAGACACGGUCCAAACUCCUACGGGAGGCAGCAGUGAGGAAUAUUGGUCAAUGGGCGAGAGCCUGAACCAGCCAAGUAGCGUGAAGGAUGACUGCCCUAUGGGUUGUAAACUUCUUUUAUAAAGGAAUAAAGUCGGGUAUGCAUACCCGUUUGCAUGUACUUUAUGAAUAAGGAUCGGCUAACUCCGUGCCAGCAGCCGCGGUAAUACGGAGGAUCCGAGCGUUAUCCGGAUUUAUUGGGUUUAAAGGGAGCGUAGAUGGAUGUUUAAGUCAGUUGUGAAAGUUUGCGGCUCAACCGUAAAAUUGCAGUUGAUACUGGAUAUCUUGAGUGCAGUUGAGGCAGGCGGAAUUCGUGGUGUAGCGGUGAAAUGCUUAGAUAUCACGAAGAACUCCGAUUGCGAAGGCAGCCUGCUAAGCUGCAACUGACAUUGAGGCUCGAAAGUGUGGGUAUCAAACAGGAUUAGAUACCCUGGUAGUCCACACGGUAAACGAUGAAUACUCGCUGUUUGCGAUAUACUGCAAGCGGCCAAGCGAAAGCGUUAAGUAUUCCACCUGGGGAGUACGCCGGCAACGGUGCAACUCAAAGGAAUUGACGGA
rnacentral:rRNA from 1 species